rnacentral:rRNA from 1 species
UGACAUACCUAUUUGUUGCCUCGGCGGUGCCUGUUCCGACAGCCCGCCAGAGGACCCCAAACCCUGAUUACAUUUAAGAAGUCUUCUGAGUAAACCGAUUAAAUAAAUCAAAACUUUCAACAACGGAUCUCUUGGUUCUGGCAUCGAUGAAGAACGCAGCGAAAUGCGAUAAGUAAUGUGAAUUGCAGAAUUCAGUGAAUCAUCGAAUCUUUGAACGCACAUUGCGCCCGCUAGUAUUCUGGCGGGCAUGCCUGUCCGAGCGUCAUUUCAACCCUCAAGCCCCCGGGCUUGGUGUUGGGGAUCGGCGAGCCUCCGCGCCCGCCGUCCCCUAAAUCUAGUGGCGGUCUCGCUGUAGCUUCCUCUGCGUAGUAGCACACCUCGCACUGGGAAACAGCGCGGCCACGCCGUUAAACCCCCAACUUCUGAACGUUUGACCUCGGAUCAGGUAGGAAUACCCGCUGAACUUAAGCAUAUCAA